rnacentral:rRNA from 1 species
AGCGAACGCUGGCGGCAGGCCUAACACAUGCAAGUCGAACGGAUCCUUCGGGAUUAGUGGCGGACGGGUGAGUAACACGUGGGAACGUGCCCUUUGGUUCGGAACAACUCAGGGAAACUUGAGCUAAUACCGGAUGUGCCCUUCGGGGGAAAGAUUUAUCGCCAUUGGAGCGGCCCGCGUCUGAUUAGCUAGUUGGUGAGGUAAAGGCUCACCAAGGCUACGAUCAGUAGCUGGUCUGAGAGGAUGAUCAGCCACAUUGGGACUGAGACACGGCCCAAACUCCUACGGGAGGCAGCAGUGGGGAAUCUUGCGCAAUGGGCGAAAGCCUGACGCAGCCAUGCCGCGUGAAUGAUGAAGGUCUUAGGAUUGUAAAAUUCUUUCACCGGGGACGAUAAUGACGGUACCCGGAGAAGAAGCCCCGGCUAACUUCGUGCCAGCAGCCGCCGUAA